GUCCACGCCGUAAACGAUGAAUGCUAGAUGUUGGGGGGCCUAGCUCCUCAGUGUCGAAGCUAACGCGAUAAGCAUUCCGCCUGGGGAGUACGGCCGCAAGGUUAAAACUCAAAGGAAUUGACGGGGGCCCGCACAAGCGGUGGAGCAUGUGGUUUAAUUCGACGCAACGCGAAGAACCUUACCAGCUCUUGACAUGGGGGUUAUGGAUCCCGGAGACGGGAUCCUUCGGUUCGGCCGGGCCCCACACAGGUGCUGCAUGGCUGUCGU
rnacentral:rRNA from 1 species